rnacentral:rRNA from 1 species
AUGCUCAUCCCAAACGUUGUCUGCAGGAUGAUGCCAACUGGGGAAGCGCUUCUGAUCAUUUGUUUUGGUCAAAAGUCAAAUGUUCAGCCCCAGCAGACUCGUCCAACUAAUAAUCAAUCAGCACGGCACGUCAUCGCAGUCUUUGACAGCGAUAUACAUCUGUGUCUGAGACAAGUAAACAAGAAUAAGCUGUACAUCCACUUGCCAGCGUCUUAUCUUUGUAUCCUACGCCAGUGGAGAUUUCGCAGCUGUGAUGCGGCCACCGUGUCAACAACCAAGCAAUUUACUAAUAACAAUAACAAAAAGAAAAUAUGUUAUUGGCUGAAAUCUAGCUGA